AUUGAACGCUGGCGGCAGGCCUAACACAUGCAAGUCGAACGAGUGGCGGACGGGUGAGUAAUGUCUGGGAAACUGCCCGAUGGAGGGGGAUAACUACUGGAAACGGUAGCUAAUACCGCAUACCAUCGGAUGUGCCCAGAUGGGAUUAGCUUGUAGGUGAGGUAACGGCUCACCUAGGCGACGAUCCCUAGCUGGUCUGAGAGGAUGACCUGCCACACUGGAUCGGGGACGCGGUCCGUACUACUACGGGAGGCAGAAGUGGGGAAUAUUGAAGAAUGGGCGCAAGCGUGAUGCAGCCAUGCCGCGUGUAUGAAGAAGGCCUUCGGGUUGUAAAGUACUUUCAGCGGGGAGGCGGUACCAGCAGAAUAAGCACCGGCUAACUCCGUGCCAGCAGCCGCGGUAAUUC
rnacentral:rRNA from 1 species